AAAACAGACUCUAACUCUGAUUCUUUGGGCUCCAAAAAGAGCUCAGCGAUGAUGAGGUUCAUCUGCUACUGCUGUCAGAAGCCAGGCCAGCGUAAGAGGGACUGCCUCAAGAGGCUCCAGCCAUGCCCUGA